AUACGGAGGAUGCAAGCGUUAUCCGGAUUUAUUGGGUUUAAAGGGUGCGUAGGCGGUUUGCUAAACGGGAGGUGAAAUGCCGGCGCUCAACGUCGGAAGUGCCUCCCGAACUGGUGGACUUGAAUGACUCUGCCGUGGGAGGAAUGUGUAGUGUAGCGGUGAAAUGCUUAGAGAUUACACAGAACACCGAUUGCGAAGGCAUCUCACGAAGGGUUGAUUGACGCUGAGGCACGAAAGCGUGGGGAUCAAACAGGAUUAGAUACCCUGGUAGUCCACGCAGUAAACGAUGAUGGCUAACCGCUGGUUUUUUCGGAUCAGUGGCCAAGCGAAAGCGAUAAGCCAUCCACCUGGGGAGUACGACCGCAAGGUUGAAACUCAAAUGAAUUGACGGGG
rnacentral:rRNA from 1 species